rnacentral:rRNA from 1 species
AUACGGAAGGUCCGGGCGUUAUCCGGAUUUAUUGGGUUUAAAGGGAGCGCAGGCGGAGAUGCAAGCGUGACGUCAAAUUUCGGGGCUCAACCCCGUCUCGCGUCGCGAACUGCGUCCCUUGGUUGCGGGAAGGGGAGGCGGAACUCGUGGUGUAGCGGUGGAAUGCAUAGAUAUCACGAAGAACUCCGAUCGCGAAGGCAGCCUUCCGGCCCGUCAACGACGCUCAUGCUCGAAGGUGCGGGUAUCAAACAGGAUUAGAUACCCUGGUAGUCCGCACAGUAAACGAUGGACACCCGCGGUUUGGCCUGUAUGGCUGAGCCGCCAAGCGAAAGCGUUAAGUGUCCCACCUGGGGAGUACGCCGGCAACGGUGAAACUCAAAUGAAUUGACGGGG